GUGUUUAUAGCCCUGUGACUUUAACACUUCAUGACUGAGAGCUGCUGCUCAGCAACUUCACCCACAGCAACCAUGACUUUGAUCAGCGUCUUCAUCUGCACACUGGCCCUCUGGACUCAAGGAUCCAGAGGUCAGGUGACUGUGACUCAGACUCCUUCAGUGCAAACUGUUGAUCCAGGAAAAACAGUCACCUUCAACUGUAGAACCAGUAGCAGUGUGCUUGGUGGUAACUAUCUCGCCUGGUACCUGCAGAAACCUAGAGAAGCUCCUAAACUCCUGAUCCAUGAUGCUACUAGCUCAUACACAGGAACUCCAGCUCGUUUCAGUGGCAGUGGAUCUAAUACUGACUUCACUCUGACCAUCAGAGGAGUCCAGACUGAAGAUGCAGGAGAUUACUACUGUCAGAGUUUACAUGUGAUCAGUGGUAGCUGGGUGUUCACACAGUGUUAGAGCGCCGUACAAAAACCUCGGUCAGUGAGAGUGCACAGAGAAGCACUGCUGCAGCUGGGAGCGACUGCAGGUGCUGAGGGGGAGGAUGUGAUACAGCACAAUGACACACACUGUGGACGAGAGAAAACACACCACACUAACUCACUAAUGCACACACACAUCUGUGAGAGGAGUCUACCUUUCUCUCAAGAAAACCAUAAAUAUAAAGAAUUCACAACAUAAAAGUCCAUCAAGUUCUGUGUAAUAAAGUGGAAUGACACGGGAAAAAAGUAUUGAACACGCUAAGAAAAAGCAUUUCUCCAAGGCAAGGUAAGGAAAGGAACCAUCUGAAAUCUGUAAGUCAUUACACCCCCUAUCUGUGCACAUUAAUAUCAGCUGGGUUAGUACAUUGAUGGUCUAUAAAAAGGCUUUUCGUUACAAAGGUGGCACACAUGAAACAUCUCAUGAUGGGUAAAAUCAAAGAGCGCUCCCAAGACUUUUGGAACAUUAUUGUUGAAAAACAUAUUGAUGGAAUCAGAUACAGACGUAUUUCAAAACUUCUGAAUCCUCCAGUAAGCACCAUUGGGGCCGUUAUCCACAGGUGGAAGCAACAUCACUCCGUCAUCGCACAGGAGCUCCUCGGAAGAUUUCUGACCCAGGAGUCAGAAGAAUAGUCAGAAGAGUAGCCCAAGAGCCAAGGACCACUCGGAAAGAGCUCCAGAAACACUUGGAGGCAGCA